rnacentral:rRNA from 1 species
GACGAACGCUGGCGGCGUGCCUAGUACAUGCAAGUAGAACGCACAGUUUAUACCGUAGCUUGCUACACCAUAGACUGUGAGUUGCGAACGGGUGAGUAACGCGUAGGUAACCUGCCUGGUAGCGGGGGGUAACUAUUGGAAAAGAUAGCUAAUAACGCCUAAUAUUUAUUAUUUCAUGAUAAUUAAUUGAAAAGUGCAAUUGCACCACUACCCGAUGGACCUGCGUUGUAUUAGCUAGUAGGUGAGGUAACGGCUCACCUAGGCGACGAUACAUAGCCGACCUGAGAGGGUGAUCGGCCACACUGGGACUGAGACACGGCCCAGAUUCCUACGGGAGGCAGCAGUAGGGAAUCUUCGGCAAUGGACGAAAGUCUGACCGAGCAACGCCGCGUGAGUGAAGAAGGUUUUCGGAUCGUAAAGCUCUGUUGUAAGAGAAGAACGGGUGUGAGAGUGGAAAGUUCACACUGUGACGGUAUCUUACCAGAAAGGGACGGCUAACUACGUG